rnacentral:tRNA from 2 species
ACUUAUGUUAAUAUAGCUCGAUAAAUAAGCCGGAAUAGCUCAGUUGGUAG